rnacentral:rRNA from 1 species
ACCUACGGGGGGUAGCAGUGGGGAAUAUUGGGCAAUGGGCGCAAGCCUGACCCAGCAACGCCGCGUGAAGGAAGAAGGCUUUCGGGUUGUAAACUUCUUUUGUCAGGGACGAAGCAAGUGACGGUACCUGACGAAUAAGCCACGGCUAACUACGUGCCAGCAGCCGCGGUAAUACGUAGGUGGCAAGCGUUAUCCGGAUUUAUUGGGUGUAAAGGGCGUGUAGGCGGGAAUGCACGUCAGAUGUGAAAAC